rnacentral:rRNA from 1 species
GUGUCAGCAGCCGCGGUAAUACGGAGGAUGCGAGCGUUAUCCGGAUUUAUUGGGUUUAAAGGGUGCGUAGGCGGAUUAAUAAGUCAGCGGUGAAAACCUUCAGCUUAACUGGAGACUUGCCAUUGAUACUGUUAGUCUUGAGUACGGUCAAGGUAGGCGGAAUGUGUAAUGUAGCGGUGAAAUGCUUAGAUAUUACACAGAACACCGAUUGCGAAGGCAGCUUACUGGGCCAUUACUGACGCUGAGGCACGAAAGCGUGGGGAGCGAACAGGAUUAGAAACCCGUGUAGUCC